AUUGAACGCUGGCGGCAGGCCUAACACAUGCAAGUCGAGCGGAGCUGCGGACGGGUGAGUAAUGCCUAGGAAUCUGCCCGUUAGUGGGGGAGAACGUCCGGAAAAGGGCCCUAAUACAGCAUAAUAUCAGAGGAGCCUAGGUCGGAUUAGAUAGUUGGUGGGGUAAAGGCCUACCAAGGCGACGAUCCGUAACUGGUCUGAGAGGAUGAUCAGUCACACGGGAACUGAGACACGGUCCAGACUCCUACGGGAGGCAGCAGUGGGGAAUAUGGGACAAUGGGCGAAAGCCUGAUCCAGCCAUGCCGCGUGUGUGAAGAAGGUCUUCGGAUUGUAAAGCACUUUAAGUUGGGAGGCGUUACCUACAGAAUAAGCACCGGCUAACUUCGUGCCAGCAGCCGCGGUAAUAC
rnacentral:rRNA from 1 species